rfam:TPA: Bos taurus chromosome 5, whole genome shotgun sequence.
UCCCUGGUGGCUCAGACGGUAAAGCAUUUGCCUGCAAUGUAGGAGACCCAGGUUCUACCCCUGGGUUGGGAA